rnacentral:rRNA from 1 species
GACGAACGCUGGCGGCGUGCUUAACACAUGCAAGUCGAGCGGAAGGGCCCGACGUUUGUGUCGUGCUCGUUAGGGGAGCGGGGGAGUAAAACGUGUGUAACCUGCCCUUGUCUUUGGGGUAACUUCAGGGAACUGGGGCUCAAACCGGGUAUAAUCUCCUGAUGCGCGGGGUGCAUAGGUGAGUGUCGGCGUUUGUGGAUGGACUCGAGGCUUAUGAGCUGGUUGGUGUGGUAGUUGCGGACCAGGGGUAUGACGGGUAGGCGGCAUGGGAGGGUGACCGGCCACAUUGGGACUGCGCGACGGCCCAGACUGCUACGGGAGGCAGAAGUGGGGAAUAUUGCACAAUGGGCGGACGCGUGAGGCAGCGACGUUGCGUGCGGGAUGACGGCCUUCGGGUUGUAAACAUCUGUCGCCGGAGCCGAAGCGUUCGUGACGGUACCUGGUAAAGAAGCACCGGCUAACUACGUG